rnacentral:lncRNA from 1 species
UGGAUUAUUUAAUUAAAUAUCUAAAUAGAUUUUAAUAUAAAUAUUAACGGUCUAAAUUUGCCUAGCGCGUGAUGAGAAUCACGUAAAAUAAAAAAUAUCCUGCCCAACACCCCAAAAGUUAAGUUUUCACUAUGAUUAAUAUUUGUACAAGUAUAAAAAAUAUAAAAAUACAACAUAAUUUAAAGUCUUCUUUAAAUGUCUUUCCCGACGAAUAUUCCAAAAACCUAUAUAAGCACUCAUAACAAAAAUGUCAGUAACAAAUAAAUAAUUAUCAAAAUAAAUUUAAAAGGAUAAAUAAUUAUCAAAAUAAAUUUAAAAGAUAUGUGUGCAUAUAGGUAUUUAAAAAUAUAAUUUUUGCUAAAAGUGGGUUCGGAUUAAAUUUUAAAUGCGUCAUGACUACGAAGUGGUUGCUCAAUUUAUUGACCCUCCUAAAUCAUCUUGACAAGAUAUGAGUCAUAAAACUUUUUACGUUGUUAUAAAAAUUUCAUCAUCGCCCGAAUUUAUUCAUUUUAUUACGUACUGAUAUAUGCAAUAUCCGUCUUUUAUUUGUGAAGGCCUCGAAAAUCGACGGAGAAUUUCUUCAUCGGUCAAAUAAUAAUGUCCAUUCAAAUUAAUAAAUCACUCCAACCAAUAAUAGAACAAAUAAUAUCAAAGACCAGUCCAGAAAUGAUCCCAAAUAGUGACAAAAUCUACCAAGUAGUAGCUAAGCAAAAUCAUCUCCUUCGAGUGAAAAUUUACCCCAGAACUAGAAAACUAGUCAUAGCAUUAGCAGUGAUUCAAAACCAACAAUAGAGACAACUAUAAGUAAUUAGAUUAUUGAAAAUGGGGUUUGAAACACGUAGACAAAUGACCAAAAAAUGGAGCUUGAUAGAAAAAUUAUCAUUCUUAUCCGAAAAAUUCAAAAAUUAGCCAAAUCUAUACUAAACAAUGGAACAAAGAAUAAUAGUGCAAGCAAUCAAUGACAUACAAUGUGACAGUCUUGUCCAUCAACUAUUUUCUCCAGCGUGAUACAGUAAACGAAAAAGGAGGAGGGGUAUUUCUUCCAAGGCUUUCAUCGGAGCAACACUAAAUAUAUAUACUCCAGCCAGAUCUGGCUUGUAAAUGGUGUAAGCCAUCAUUUCGAAUAUAUAAUAGCGAACCACAAGCAAAAGGUAAGAGUAAAGAUGCGGUGAUGAAGCUUCACCAUCGCUCACUGUCCGUUCGGUGGUCAAGUCCAGUGGCGAAAGUGGGACGGAGAAAGUGGGAAGGUGGUGCGAGUUGGAGAGAGGAGAGAGGCGGAAGGGCGUUUAGAGGUGGGUGAUGGUUUGGUGUUUGUCGAAGCUCCGGUGACGGCAACGACAGUGAGGGUCUGAGAGAGAAAAAAGAGCAUGAGAGAGAGAUCUGAUCUGGUUUAUGUGUGCACAUGCGUUGGUGUGUGUAUGUGUUCAUUACACAAUAAAAGGUCCAUUAUUGACCCAAAAAAUAAAAUCAACUAUUUUAACCAUUAAAUAAUAAUAUAUUGAUCAAAGAGUAAAAACUUCAACCG